CGUUGUAGAGGACUCACUCACUGCCCAGCCCCUUCUCACUCACUGCGGGGAAGAAUAAUGAAGAAACUCACUUCGCGAAGACGCGACUCACUGCCUAGCCCCUUCUCACUCACUGCGGGGAAAAAUAAUGAAGAAACUCACUUCGCGACGGGACUCACUCACUGCCCAGCCCCUUCUCACUCACUGCAGGGAAGAAUAAUGAAGAAAUGGAGUUACUUGGAUGAGUGGGUCUAGUGCUCGCUGCUUGGAAACUCUGUUGUUUGACUGGGUCUGGCGCUCGAAAACUCUGUUGUUUGGCAGCGCAACACAUCAACACAUCUCUGGUUCUGAGAGUGAGGAGCUUGUUGCCGCAUCAAGACUUGAGGAUGAUGUCAGUUUUUAUCAAACUGUGAAUCCUAAUGUGGCAAAGCUUUUCCAUAUUGAUCCAGAAGGCAAACGCCCAGCUUUAAUCCUUAUUUGAACUACCAAGAAAAAAUCAAGUGGUGCAACCACCUUGUUUGGAAAUCAGAACCAGCUUGGAACUCCUUUACAACAAAUUCAUUCCACUGUUGAAAAAGGAAGUGUGCAGAGGGUGAUACUUCUCUUCUUGACAUCCAUUAGUCAACACAUCUAGUUUGUGAUAUCUUCUUAGUAUGGUACCUUAAACUCAAUUAUAUUUAUGUUGUUUUGAUGGAGGACCAUCCUUGAGGACACAUGUGGGCCACAUCACUAGGUCCAUGGCUAAGAGAGUUGAAGAGGAGGAGGGAGCUCACACACCAAGGGACACUCUCCUCAUGAUCAUAGACUGAAGAACCUAUCUAGCAAACUAGAAAACUUUUGGUGGAUUUGAGUAGAGGAGUGAACCGAAUCCAAACCUAGCCUUUGGAGGGAUUUACACUACACAAAAGGAGUGUUAAACACUUGGAGAGGACUAACAAAGUUUGCUCAUUGUGAAGGAACCCAAGUGGAGGAGUUGAAGACCUAAAAAUUUUGUCUUUUCAUUU